rnacentral:lncRNA from 1 species
CUGGGUGGCUCAGUGGGUUAAGCCCCUGCCUUCAGCUCAGGUCAUGAUCUCAGGGUCCUGGGAUCGAGUCCCGCAUCAGGCUCUUUGCUCAGCAGGAAGCCUGCUUUCCCCUCUCUCUCUCUGCCUGCCUCUCCAUCUACUUGUGAUUUCUCUCUGUCGAAUAAAUAAAUAAAAUCUUUUAAAAAAAAUAAGAAAAUAAAGAAAAUCUUAAAAAAACAAACCCCAGGAGCUGAGAAGCGAGAUGAGAAGUUUGCCAUGGGGAGCAGGGGGACCACCAAGGCCCCCCUUAGUCCCUGGAUUUAUGGGCCUGGUGAGUUAGAGGAGCUGCACUGUAGCGGGAGGCUCUGAGGUCACAGAGGUAAUGGUAUUUGUGUGUAUGGGCGGGGGGUGGGGAGGCAUAAAGAGCCUUGGAGGCUAUUUUGGGGACUUUGUGUCUUACUCUGAAUGAGAUGGGAAACCACUGGAGGAUCUGAGCAAAGACGGACACAAUGGACCAAUAUGACUGCCAUGCUGAGCAACCACUGUAUGGGGAAAGCCAUAAGCAGGGGGACCAGCUCGGAGGCUAUCUGAGUCAUUCAGGAGGAAGACAGGAAGAAUGUGGUAUCCUAGAAGCCAAGUCAAGAAAGGAUUCUAGGGGAGAGAGGAGUGAGUUGUGUUAAAUAUUGCUGAUAGCCACUAAAGUUGAAGACUGGUCAUUGGCCAUCGACAAUAGCAAUGAAGAAGCCAUUGGUGAACUUGAGGACAACAGCUUUGGCAGGUCUGUGGGGCAAAAUCUGGAAAGCAAAUGGGAGAAAAGGAAUUACAGACACAGUCAGUGUAGGUGUGCAGCUGGAGUGGGAACAUCUCUACCAUGACCCUCACCUUGCAACGUUAUGUUUCAGCAAACCUGAAUUACCUAAAGGUCCCUAGCUAGUAUUGUGUGUGAAGGUGAAUUAACUAAAGGUCCCAGGAUCAGUGAGGCCACCAGCAGGAAGUCUAUAGCACAGAAAGAAGGUUUAAUUUAAGAAAGUUAAUGAAGGGCCUCUUUAUGAGACAUGGGGACAGCUAAGGGAAAAUAGUAAAACACCGACACUAGCACCAAAAGGAGACCAAAGCGACAGACGAAUGGUGCUAUCAUAACCCUGUGGAAGAGUCAGCCCAGCAGGAGCAGUAGGGGCAAGCAACCAGUCAAAAUCGUGAUAAAUCCCCUCGCCUACAUUUCCUCCAAACCUACAAUCUCCUGCUUGGGUGCCGUUUGGUCAAAUACAACUGAAAGCCGGAAGAUGAGAAAGCCAGGAUGAUGCAGUCUGUAGUGGUCAGCCUCCUGGGCACAAAGUAGGCAAGGGAGGGAUGGAAAAUUAAUCAGAGAGCUUUUGCCCUUUAUUUAGAGGAAAAAAAUCGGUGGCCUCUACCCAGAGGAGACAGCAAGUCUCAUCAGGUACUGAUUACGGGUUAGACUUUGUGGAAAAUCCUCUGGCUCAGAUGCGGGCUUCCUAGCCCCCAUUUUGUCCUACCCGACCAGUACAGCGAACCCCACUCAAUGCUUGCUGGGUCAGCAGCAUGAGAAGCCCGAAAGUGGCCAGUCAUAAACCUGAGCUUCCAGUUUAAUGGGUUCAAGACUGUGUCCUCCAGGGAAUGUUCCUUCAUGUGCACUAGGAUCUCCAAACCUAGAGUCCAACGUUAUGGGGGAAACAUGUUCUGUAAGAGGGUUGUUUGGUGAAAUCGUGAGAGAUCACUUCCAACUCCACCCCAGUCCUUGUAUACGUCCACAAACCUAAGUGAUCAUGUCACAUCUUCUCUGUCUUCAAAUCUCGAACACUUCUGCCCCAGGCUACACUCCAGACUGAUUUGCGUCUCUAGGGAUACCCUGUCAAAGAAGAGAACCUGUGUAAUCUGGCUACGGGGGAAACAGUACCACACUGAUGUGGUGAUCUCCUGAAGAAGGUAGCUCCAGUUGGUGCCACAACUGAGCCCUCAGCAGGCCACUCCCCAGUCCAUUCGAACAGUUGCUCGAGUAUCUCAAUAACUAUGCACACACCAGUGAAUUCCACGGGCAUGAACUCAGCUCCCCAAGCCUUCUGCUAUAUAAUGUGCUCCCUGGUUGGAGAUGUUGUGUGGGUUACCAUGACAAUGAAUAGGGCUUUCUGAAAACCUUCAAGGGGUGGUGCUGGCAGAAGUAUUGCCAAGUGGAGAAAGCAAGUCUGUAUCGGAGCAGGACUCCCUUCCUAAGACAGCAGACUGCUGGUUCUCUCCGCGAAGGAGUAAUAUAAGUGGUAGGCCUGACCCCCCAGUGGAAGGUGCCAAUAUAGAUGAUUUGGUGAUGGUCUUUGCUAGUAGUUAGCCAUUUGGGAACUCAAUGGAGAUGGUAUCUCUGUUAGCCCUAGUGAAGGGUACUUACUGAGGAUGCACAGGGGUGACAGAGGAAAUGGGUUGAGUGACAUUCACAGGUAGACUGACCAUUUCAACAGCUUGAUUAUCAAGCACCUCUGCUUGGGGGGCUCUGCAGUGGUGCCCCAGAUGGGAACAUCCAUGAUGCCUUGGGAUCUUCACAUGAUGUUCAUCCUGGGGCUUCCAUCCAUGUACCUCUUUCCCAGAGUUUUCUGGUCCCAAGCCUCCUGGUCUUGACCAUCCAGGUUUUCUGACUAGCCUGUGAAUCUAUUACCUGUAACUCAUUAGGUAGUGUAGACCUCCAAAGCACACUAUCAGAUUGGCCAAAAUGUAUCUACUGAGAGGCUUUUCCUUCACCACCGUCUUUCAG